rnacentral:rRNA from 1 species
AGUGAACGCUGGCGGCAGGCCUAAUACAUGCAAGUCGAACGGCAGCACAGCAGAGCUUGCUCUGUGGGUGGCGAGUGGCGGACGGGUGAGGAAUACGUGGGAAUCUGCCCAGUCGUGGGGGAUAACGUAGGGAAACUUACGCUAAUACCGCAUGCGCCCUUCGGGGGAAAGCCGGGGGACCUUCGGGCCUGGCGCGAUUGGAUGAGCCCACGUCGGAUUAGCUAGUUGGCGGGGUAAAGGCCCACCAAGGCGACGAUCCGUAGCUGGUCUGAGAGGAUGAUCAGCCACACUGGAACUGAGACACGGUCCAGACUCCUACGGGAGCAGCAGUAGGGAAUACUGGACAAUGGGCGCAAGCCUGAUCCAGCCAUGCCGCGUGAGUGAAGAAGGCCCUACGGGUUGUAAAG